CGGCGGACGGGUGAGUAACGCGUGGGUAACCUGCCUCAUACAGGGGGAUAACAGUUGGAAACGGCUGCUAAUACCGCAUAAGCGCACAGUACCGCAUGGUACGGUGUGAAAAACUCCGGUGGUAUGGGAUGGACCCGCGUCUGAUUAGGUAGUUGGUGGGGUAACGGCCUACCAAGCCGACGAUCAGUAGCCGACCUGAGAGGGUGACCGGCCACAUUGGGACUGAGACACGGCCCAA
rnacentral:rRNA from 1 species